ensembl:lncRNA
GUUAUUUUCUGCCCCGGCUGCUGGUGGGGCUAGCCUGGCGCCAGCCCCCGGGACCUGGAGAGCUAGGGGCGGGGGGCUGGACAUUUGCCCCUUAACCCUCCACCCCCCCCAAUGCCCUAACGAUGCCAGGAGGCCGCCGCUGAAAACUCACUCAUUUCACUGUCAUGGCGUCUCCCGUUGAUAACCUUAUAUUUUCUCCACUGAUGAAUGAGACUUCUUAAAUAUUCCAGCUGACCACAGCGUGUCGGGAUGACUUGGAUGUUAAACUCGCAGACAUGUCAAUGGUAGUCAAUUGAUCCAUCACGUUGCGGAGGGCCACUGGGCUUAGAGAAGGCCAAAGCGGCUUGAUCCUCCUCAAAUCCAAAGCAAACAGGCACAACAUGGCCGCCCUGAUGCGCCGCAGCCUCGGGGCCUGAAAACAGGAGUUCCCCUGAGCAGCUAUCAAAAGCUUUGCUUCCCGCCAAGUGCAAAGGCCUCACGAUCCCCUGGAGUCUCAGAGGGCGAGGAAGACACGACCGGAGUCAACAACCUUCGUCUGUCCUUUUCAAGACCUUUACCCGCUCAGAGCAAAGCGUCUCAAUGAAUCCAGAACUUUCACUGUAAAUAUACAUAUUGAAGCCAUUACUCGAGGAGUUUGGAUGAGUCAAACGAUGAAGAAUGGCAUUACUCGAGCAGCAAAAAAGACAAGUCUUUCUUUUGAAGACGAUACUCCGUCUCCGGUUGUCGGUUGUGUUUUGCUUCCCUGAAAACAUGCACUUCAGAGAAGGGAGAAGCCCCGCAGAGAGACGGAGAGGAGGGGAGGAGACAAGGGGGCCAUGCAAAGAGAAGUAAGGUCUGUGAAUGACUCCAACAGCUGAAGGUCUCUGCAGAUGUGAGACUUUGUCGCUGUGGAUAAUGUCAGCGACUCGUAAACGCCUUCCCGAGACCGGGAAAUUGAAUCUAUAGUCACUCCCUCGCAUUCUCAGGGGUUCAUCCCUUGACCUUCACAACCCCAAGAAAGUCUUCAGAUAUCAACGCGCGCUGGGAAGGCCACCAGGAUGUUUGCGUCAUAACAGCGAAAUGUUAUUCAUAUUAAUUUCACGUCACGGCUUCAUCUUUUACUGCUGUCGUUAAUAGAAAUAUAUUUUUUAUUAAAAUUGACAUUGUAUCAGGUGGUCAUAUUGCU